rnacentral:tRNA from 1 species
CUUUUUGUAGUUCAGUUGGUAGAGCACUCUACAGGAAAUGGAGAGGUCCCGGGUUCGAUACCCGAACCAGGUGGA